CCUGCCUCAGGUAGUAGCACACCCUGGGGGUACACGAGUGCCGAACGGGUGAGUAACACGUGGGUGACCUGCCCUGUACUUCGGGAUAAGCCUGGGAAACUGGGUCUAAUACCGGAUAUGACCUUCCCCUGCAUGGGGGUUGGUGGAAAGCUUUUGCGGUACAGGAUGGGCCCGCGGCCUAUCAGCUUGUUGGUGGGGUAAUGGCCUACCAAGGCGACGACGGGUAGCCGGCCUGAGAGGGCGACCGGCCACACUGGGACUGAGACACGGCCCAGACUCCUACGGGAGGCAGCAGUGGGGAAUAUUGCACAAUGGGCGAAAGCCUGAUGCAGCGACGCCGCGUGAGGGAUGACGGCCUUCGGGUUGUAAACCUCUUUCAGUAGGGACGAAGCGCAAGUGACGGUACCUACAGAAGAAGCACCGGCCAACUACGUGCCAGCAGCCGCGGUAAUACGUAGGGUGCGAGCGUUGUCCGGAUUUACUGGGCGUAAAGAGCUCGUAGGCGGUUUGUCACGUCGUCUGUGAAAACCCGAGGCUUAACCUCGGAGCCUGCAUGCGCGAUACGGGCAGACUUGAGUACUGUAGGGGAGACUGGAAUUCCUGGUGUAGCGGUGGAAUGCGCAGAUAUCAGGAGGCACUCAUCGUUGCUGAAAUUGAGUGCCUGGCCGACAACGAUUUACCAUAACCCUGAGUA
rnacentral:rRNA from 1 species